AUGUGAGGGGUUAAGUUUCCUAAACUUUGGUAUAUUGUGGGAGAUAGACCGAUCUGUGUUACGGAAUUCAGGGGCAUGAUGUGAACAAGGGUUGACCUGCUUCUGUACUACGGCUGCAGUUAAUCCUUGGAUGGCUCAAAAACAUUUCGUAAAUUUAGCCUUGAUCGGAUGAUCCAGGGCUUCAGGUUGCUUAGUAUGCUCUACGGAUGGUUUUCCUCGCGUCAUUGCUAUAAAAGAAAGUAAAAC
rnacentral:lncRNA from 1 species